CGCCCGUCACACCACGAGAGUUUACAACACCCGAAGUCGGUGAGGUAACCGCAAGGGGCCAGCCGCCGAAGGUGGGGUAGAUGAUUGGGGUGAAGUCGUAACAAGGUAGCCGUAUCGGAAGGUGCGGCUGGAUCACCUCCUUUCUAUGGAGAUCAUGUGAUUGCGAAAUCACAGAUCAUUAAAGCAAUACAACGGCUGAUUUGCUUGCUCGUGUUCAGUUUUGAAGGUGUUCACACACUUUCAAACUCUUGUUCCUUGAAAACUGGAUAGCGAAACGAAACAAACCGAAAGCAAAAUCUUGAUCUUAUACAUUUACCACCUUGCUUAUGCAAGCUUGGUUAAGCGAAUAAGAGCGCACGGAGGAUGCCUAGGCGCCAGGAGCCGAAGAAGGACGUAGCGAACGACGAUACGCCUCGGGGAGCCGUAAGCAGGCUUUGAUCCGGGGAUCUCCGAAUGGGGAAACCCUCAUGAGUGAACCUCAUGAAUCUUCCACUGAAUUCAUAGGUGGUUGAAGGCACACCCAGGGAACUGAAACAUCUAAGUACCUGGAGGAAAAGAAAACAACAGUGAUUCCCUUAGUAGCGGCGAGCGAACGGGGGCUAGCCCAAACCAAGGGACUUGUCCCUUGGGGUUGUAGGACGUCAACAUGGCAAAAGUAGAGUAGGCGAAGAGGUCUGGAAAGGCCCGCUACAAGAGGUAAAAGCCCUGUAGCCUAAACUUUACGUAUGCCUAGACGGAUCCUGAGUACGGCGGGGCACGGGAAACCCCGUCGGAAUCCGGCAGGACCAUCUGCCAAGGCUACAUACUCCCUGGCGACCGAUAGUGAAGCA
rnacentral:sRNA from 1 species